UCUACUACAUUUUUCUUUCUUAUCCCAGAAGGCAACACGGCCGAGCGUAGAGCCGUACAAAUCAUCAACAAAUCUUUAAACCAACCCAACGAAAAUCCCCCCCGUCGCCUCGUCUCGAGUUCUCGACCCGUCUCGUCGCGCCGCGCCGCCGCCGCCUCGAUCUCGAAGCCGCUCCAUAAUCCUAGGGUUUUCGCGCCGUCCCCAUGGGCUCUAAGAAGCGGUCGCCCCAGCAUCCCGCCGCCGGCGAGGAGCCCGGCGAUGUCGGCGCCCCGCCGGCGGGGAAGGGGUCGGCAGCGUCGCCGGCGCCUGCCGGGGUGGUGCCGAGGCCGGCGGACGUGGCGCCUUUCCUGACCAAGGUCUACGACAUGGUCUCCGACCCGGCGACCGACGCGGUCAUCUCCUGGGGCGCUGGCGGCGGCAGCUUCGUGAUCUGGGACUCGCACGCCUUCGAACGCGACCUGCUGCCGCGGCACUUCAAGCACAACCACUUUACCAGCUUCAUACGCCAGCUCAACACCUACGGAUUUCAUAAAGUUGAUCCUGAUAGAUGGGAGUGGGCCAAUGAAGGAUUUGUUAAGGACCAAAAACAUCUUCUGAAGACCAUCAAGAGAAAGAAGAAAUCCUCUCAGGAUGCACCUAGUGAUCUGCAGCAAGUGCCUGUCAAAACUGCUCCUGGCACUGAAAACAUCGAAAUUGGAAAAUAUGGAGGCCUCGAAAAGGAGGUUGAAACCCUUAAGAGGGACAAAGCUCUUCUUAUGCAGCAGCUUGUUGAUCUCCGGCAGUACCAGCAAUCAUCUAGCCUUGAAGUGCAGAGUUUAAUUCAACGCCUUCGUGUGAUGGAACAGAACCAACAGCAGAUGAUGGCACUUUUGGCAAUAGUUGUCCAGAAUCCAAAUUUCCUCAAUCAGUUGGUGCAGCAGCAGCAGCGCAGAAGUAACUGGUGGAAUGAUGACGGAAACAGGAAAAGGAGGUUCCAUGCUCUGGAACAGGGUCCGGUAGCUGAUCAGGAGACUUCUGAUGGAGGCACACAAAUUAUUCAGUAUUGUCCUGUUCCUGAAACCUCUAAUCAAGUAAUAUCAGUAAAUGGGGCUUUUUGUUCGACCCCUGCACAGGCAGUUUCAAGCCCUGCACUUGCCAUGCCCAUGGAUAUAGAAACAACUUCAAACAAUGUUGAUACUCUCAGUUCAGCUGGGGACCUAUUUUCUGACACCUCUGCUCUACAUGAAUUGGAUGACAUGGAUCUAUUUGGUAUGGACCUGGAAUACAUACUUCAACAGCCAGGGCAGGCCGGUCAGAUGGAAACACAACAUAACUGUCAAGUGGACCCUCCUUUAACUAUUCAAGAUUAUGGAUUAGAGCAGGACUGUCAAAUGGAAGCACUACAGGACUGCACAAAUCCGCAAUAUGGUAUUUACUAAUUGCUCUGAUGUCAUAACCGAAGCAUGAGCGAUUGUCCAGGAGCACCCUGUCCAGUAACAUUACAUUGGACUUUAUGGUUCCUUUACCAGCGUAGCAAUGUGGUUCCACCUACUGAUGCGGUUUCAGUUUCUGCAGCUUUGUGAUGAACGGAGUCCUGAGACUGGCGAGGUUAGCCACGUGGGCUACCAUUGGCGACCUGAAGACGGUAGAUGUGCUCAGGAAGUAUACUAAUACUCUAAAAAGACAAUAACACAUGCUUGACUAUACAGGAUCUGUCCUUUUUCUUUUUGCCUUUUUCACGCGUUCAAGGCAGUAGGAUAGGGAUUUUUUUUUGCACAACUCUCUGUCCUUCGUUAACGGAAGUUAGCGUCCAUCAUUUGCUGUAUAUACUGUUGUAUUGGAUUUGUACAUGUACAUGAGCAAUUACAUGGUUCGUUACGUAC